rnacentral:pre_miRNA from 1 species
CUCGGGGCGGGGGGGAGAGAUCCCUCAGCCCAGAUUGCAAGAGGGUGCAGGUCAGGCAGAGGGACCCCAUAGGUGCAGG